UUAGAGUCAUUCACAAUUAUAUCAAAACGGAUCUUCAAGAUAUUCAAGAUCCUUCUCUGAAACAGACUAAAGUGAUCUCUGCUUAUACCUCAAUCGAAUCAUUUGAAGUACAAAUCACUAAUCCAGCUUUUGCAAGCUCAUUCAGAUUUUUAGCAACUUUUUUUUAUUUGUGGAUCCAUUGUCCUUGCUCUUUUCUGGCAUUUUAUUUUUUUUGUCAUUAAAGAAAAUCAUUUCAAUGUUCGCGUCCGAAGACUAAGGAAAAUAAAAAUAGAACAAUUUGCAACCAAUAGGUGCGAAACAGAGAUAAAGCUCCUAAAUAAAUCCAAGGAGAAAAGGUAAGGGCUGAUAUACUGCGAUUCUGCGAACGUCAUCACCAAACGGUGUGUCUUGGUCACAGCAAGAGCCGAACUGGAUAAGAGGUGGCUAAAGCUUCUCGUUAAUGUGAAAAGAUUCGGUUUAAGUAAAUAAUAAUGCAAACCACUUAUGAUGGUGGUCUAAUAGGAUUCAAUGCCGGUUC
rnacentral:lncRNA from 1 species